AGGAAACCGGAAGUCUGUUCACACAACUCUACAACGUUCAGCUGCGCCGCCCCGACCUUGUUAUAAAGGGUCCUUCCACUGUUAAAGCCGGGGAGACAGUAGACGUGGACAUCUCCUUCACCAACCCGCUCCCCGUCUCGAUGACCAAAUGCGAGGUGGAGAUUGAAGGCAACAUGAAAACGGUGGCACCACUGAUGGACAAAAUCACAAUAGGAAGCAUCUCUCCUGGACAGACUUGGAAGAAGACGAUCAAGAUGUGGCCUACAGUCUUUCCUCGAACCCAGAAGA